UGGGCAGGCCAGCACGUGACUAAGCCUCCCCGGACACAGUCAUUCUCACCCCCACCCCGACCUGGUCUCAGGGUGGCUCAUUUGGGAUUCUCCAGAACUGACCACCAGCCCCGAUGGGCCCGGAGCAAAGCUCUGGCUGGUGACGGUUCCAAGCACACGACGUGGCUGCAGAGUCCGUCUGUCCCUCGUCCUCUCAAGGAGCUUAGCCCACGGCCUGUCGCCUUCUCGGGCCACCCUCCCGGCCUGGCUGAGUCAGUGUUCCUUCCAUUUGGGUCUAGUUUCACUCCCACCCUUGAAGGGCUCUGGUGCUGGCUUCUCCUGAGCGGUGCUCUCUCUUGCUCUCCUCUAAGCCUCUCCAGAGGCCCGUUCUCUCUCUCACCCCAUUCUCUCUCUCACCCUUCUCUUUUUUUCCCCUGGGAACUAAGGCUGUCUGCUGUUAACCAGCCUCUGGAGGAUUCAGUAAAGCCCCGGGGCUGGCCAUUAACCACGAACAGCCUUGGGCCUUAUGUAACCCCAACCCAUCAGAAAAGAGGAGUCUUCCAGAGCACCCAGGGAGGGGAGGCGGGGAGGGGAGUCUGCGUGGGGCCAGCAGCAAGGGGUUCUCCGUCCCUGGCCUCUGUGACUUGCCUUCACAAAGGCUUCUCUUGGAGAGACUCCUGGCUCCCCCCGGAUGGGUAUCUCCGCUCACCGCUAGGAGAAUAUCACCCAGGCAACAUCUCCGUCCUCCCAUGGGUCUGGCGCCCUCAGGCCUGCGGAGGAUGGUUUCCAGUGGGGUGUGGUCCUCUUCCCACCAAAGAAACAGGAAAGGAGACCUGGAGAGGAAGGGCAGGAGUUCACGGUGUCCACAACUUUAUCCUGGUGAAUGUUCUCAGUGUCUGUGGUAUUUCUCAGUCCCCUGCGACGGUCUCUUUCCUCCUCAGAACAGGAAAGGGGGGGACCCAGGCAGCUUCUCUCAUCUUAAAAGGUCUUCACCGUCAGGCUCUUAGCAAAGACCUUGCGGUGGAGCAGGGAGGGGCCACUCUGUCCUGA
rnacentral:lncRNA from 1 species